UCCCUAAAACAUCUUAGGUUUCUCUUUCUUUGCUCUCACCCGCCACCUUCCCCAUUCCUCUGCCAUGGCAGCCAAACAAGCUUUGGCAUUUUCCUCCAUUUAGCACACGUUUGACCUUCAUAUCCAAAAAGCAAAGAUCAUAUACCCAUUCCAAUAAAAUGUUUGUGAGGGUAAAAACAAAAUGGCUGACAGAGGGAUUAGAAUUUCUUUCCUCUUUUCCAUUAUAGAACAAGGCCGAGUAAAAGGUUUACCAUUUUUACUUCACGCGUUUUCGCCAUAUUUGGCAUCAAGACCUCUGUCCCCUUUUGAUUUUUCUUCAAUGUUGCUGCAAACCUGGACGAAAUCAGUCCAUUUUGAAGCCAAAUCGUACUUAAAAUCCUGCCCAAAAAUGUAGAAGAGGAACCCUAAUCCUAUUCUAUAAAUACCAACGUUUGAGACCAUUUUGAGGGCGGCGACAUCUCAUUCAAAACAAAGAAAACAGUCAUAUGUCCCUCUAACCAUUAUAUUUCACUUUUAUGUUUAAAACUUUGGUUUAAUCUAAGCGUGCCCAUAUUCAUCGUCCUUUGAGCGUGGAUCCGCGACUUCAAGCCUUAGUUCACUGCACCUGAAAAAGAUUGUGAUCCAGAGACUUCCACGAGACCUCAUAUUUAGCUAAGGCCAGAUUCCAGGGUGAGCUAUUCUCCAUGCCAGGCCACCUGAAGAUUUUCCUAUUUUAGAUGUCUAUUUCAUUUCAGACAUUUAUGUUAUUAUUAAACAGUCGUUCUUUCUUAGACAGUUAUGUUAAAGUCCUUGUACGAUGACUUUCGGAUUUUAGGAUUGUAAUAGUUUAGACUUCUGCAGAUUUUAUUUAUUUAUGGCAUGACUAGACUUUGGAGA